UAAUAUUUCUCUGAUCACUCAAAAAAGAUUCCGCUGUAAUAAAUAUACAUUUUGUCAUUUUGACUACACAUAAAUUGUCAUGUACAACCAUUUGUUAUUAUAUAGUUAGAUGUUUAAGGGGCAGGCGAGUCAAGCGAAUAUGAGUAAAAAAUAGUUAUAUGUUUUAAGGGGGAGACGAGUCAAGCGCAUAUGGCAUAUGAGUAAAAAAUUAAAGCAAUAGCCAAGAUUUUCGCUCUCCUCAUAAAGUCAUAAGCUCUAUUUGUGUCCGCAUACUUGUCACACGUGGCAUCCUAUUUGGGUGUCAACACGGAAACACGGAAACACGGAAAUACGUUCAUGACACGUCGAUCACUGAAUGGCAGCUUCAAUAUUGUCGACAAUGGAAAAUUUUUGUAUUAUAGAGAUUCCUUAGCACCACGCCUCAAAGUACAAUAAUUCACGCUAUUGUCAGAAAACUUUUAUUUGUCUCCAUCAAUACUGGUCCUCCCAUUGGGAUGUCACAUCAAAUAACACGCGUAAGCACGUUCUCAAUACCUCAAUCUCUAGAAGGGCAGCUUCAAUAUACGCCCCCGAUGAUAUCCUUGAAAACAUAAUCAACUAAAGGCAUCUCAAAGACUCAAAAUAAUAAUACGAUUUUGGGGUAAAAAUCAUAUUAUUUUAAUGUUACUUUAACAUUAAAGAAUUUCAUUCUCCAAUAACACCAUCAACCACCUUCUAUCAUGUUUACCAAUUGGUCUGAUUUGCUAUCUUGGAUUCAAUCACUAGCAACUCUGCUGCAAAUUAGCCUCGCAAACAGCUGUGUACCACCUGUGGAAGCAAACAAACAAUUAGGUCCACAAUCAAACUUCCUUCCUUUCAUCGGUGUUUCGUGGCAUUGAUAGAGAAAUGAAGAACAUUAUUCGGCCAGAAGAAACCAAGAACACUUACAGUCGCUUAUGUUGUCUUUGCGGCUGCGAUAUUCAUGAUCAUGUUUGUAACGGCCUUGGUCCGAUGAACCUUAUCAAAUGCUUUACCCCAAACCUUUUCGUUCAAAAACUCUUAUUAAAACUCAAAUUUGUCUUACAUAAAACCAAACUCAACAAAACUGAAAUGUCGAAUAAAA
rnacentral:lncRNA from 1 species